rnacentral:lncRNA from 1 species
GGCUGAACUCAAGCCAGAGGAAACGUGACCUGGGGAUGAGUCCGUGUGAGAGCACGUACGCACCAAAGUGUUUGUGGCCAGAGUUCACUCCAGAGCAGGUACACCUCAAAGCACCUAUGGCCAUGGAGAAGUGCAUGCUGCAGGAGGUACACCUUGCAACAUCCAUGUCUGUGGAUAAAGCCAUGCUAGAGUACCUAGAAGUGUCUGUGGGUGUGGAUAAGACCAUAACACAGCAAGUGUCUGAGGAAACCUCUGAAGGGACUGUGGCAAAUGGAACAGGCCAUGCCACAGCCAGUACACCUCAAUGUGACUGUGGCUGUGGCACAUCAGAACAAGUAGACCUCAUAGCAUCUACGACUGAUGACACAAAAACUAACCCUGCUGCUCAUUUCUUUUCACACGUAAGGAUUGAAAGACUUAAAAAAGACCACCACGAGGCGGGAAGAGCUGGAACAGAAGCUAAAGUCAGGCUAAAGGGCAGCAAAAUUUGCAGAAUCUUCUCUACUGGGCUGUCUUUUCUGUGAGCCAGGAUCGGAGUGCUGGGCCAAAGCAGGAUGAAGACGUGAAAACUUGUCUCUGGAGUGUUCUGUGAAACAAAAUUACAACAUCAUUGAGGCUUGCUGUGGUCUAUGAAUGGGAAAAGGGAAAAGAGCCUAGUUUUUUUUCCAUGCUGGAAUUAAUUUAAAUUUCAAUUGUUAUAUCACAUCUUCCAACAUGCAAAGCAG